rnacentral:lncRNA from 1 species
AAUCACAAAUUCAAGGCCAAUUUGCAAUUAGGUUUUGGAUUUGCCAAGAGUUCAUACUUAAGGCAGUUUAAAUUAAAGAAUGGUGAUUAUGAAGGCUUUGAUGGCAAGAACCCUUGUUGAUUUCCAAGUAAGCUAAUUAGAAUUAGAAUUGUAGUUAAAAUUUACAACUAAAUUAGUAAAUCAAUUAAUUCUUAUGAUUUAGAAUUCAGAUUUGGGCUUGUGAAUAGUUGAUCUUAGGAUAAAAAUAUGUUUUAGAGACAUUGGUGGUGUUAGUUUUUGAGUUCUAGGCAUUUCCAGCCUUGAAAUCGGAUUUGGACUGAGAGUUAUUGAGGACCCUUGAUCUUGGUUAGGAAUUUUCUGAUUUUGAUGGUGGAGAUGUAUCCGCCACUUUUGGGCCUCCUCCCAACUGGUUAAGAGGGCUUAGGUGACUGAGCUCCCUCUCUCUCUCUCCAUCUUCUUGUGGCGUAGCCAUGGCAAAAUGUUCUCCCAUCUUGUGAAUGCAAAUCUUCUUCUUUAAACUUGUAUGGCCUCAGUUUUAACUCACUCAGUCUAUCUCUUUUUAUUUUCUAUUUGUGAAACUUUGCAAGCAGAUUCUACUCUCU